GUCGGGGUGGCGGCGCUAUGCAACACCCGUAAGGGGAAACCGCCGCACCUGUAUUCCUAGCAGGUUUUCAGCCCCCGGCGCCCGGCC
rnacentral:ncRNA from 1 species